UACGUAGGGUGCAAGCGUUGUCCGGAAUUAUUGGGCGUAAAGCGCGCGUAGGCGGCCUCAUAAGUCCGUUGUGAAAGUCAAAGGCUCAACCUUUGAAAGCCGAUGGAUACUGUGAGGCUAGAGUCCGGAAGAGGCGAGUGGAAUUCCUGGUGUAGCGGUGAAAUGCGCAGAUAUCAGGAGGAACACCGAUGGCGAAGGCAGGUCUCUGGGCCGAUACUGACGCUGAGGAGCGAAAGCGUGGGGAGCGAACAGG
rnacentral:rRNA from 1 species